AAGCCAGACUCCUACGGGAGGCAGCAGUGGGGAAUAUUGCACAAUGGGGGGAACCCUGAUGCAGCGACGCCGCGUGGGUGAAGGAGCACCUCGGUGCGUAAAGCCCUAUCGGCAGGGAAGAAACAGACGGUACCUGACUAAGAAGCCCCGGCUAACUACGUGCCAGCAGCCGCGGUAAUACGUAGGGGGCAAGCGUUAUCCGGAUUCACUGGGUGUAAAGGGAGCGUAGACGGCGACGCAAGUCUGGAGUGAAAGCCCGGGGCCCAACCCCGGGACUGCUCUGGAAACUGCGGCGCUGGAGUACGGGAGGGGCAGGCGGAAUUCCUGGUGUAGCGGUGAAAUGCGUAGAUAUCAGGAGGAACACCGGCGGCGAAGGCGGCCUGCUGGACCGUGACUGACGUUGAGGCUCGAGAGCGUGGGGAGCAAACAGGAUUAGAUACCCUGGUA
rnacentral:rRNA from 1 species